rnacentral:rRNA from 1 species
CAGCCGCCCGGUAAUACAGAGGGUGCAAGCGUUAAUCGGAAUUACUGGGCGUAAAGCGCGCGUAGGUGGUUUGUUAAGUUGGAUGUGAAAGCCCCGGGCUCAACCUGGGAACUGCAUCCAAAACUGGCAAGCUAGAGUACGGUAGAGGGUGGUGGAAUUUCCUGUGUAGCGGUGAAAUGCGUAGAUAUAGGAAGGAACACCAGUGGCGAAGGCGACCACCUGGACUGAUACUGACACUGAGGUGCGAAAGCGUGGGGAGCAAACAGGAUUAGAUACCCCCGUAGUCCCUGUCUCUUAUACA